UACAGAGGGUGCGAGCGUUGUCCGGAAUCACUGGGCGUAAAGGGCGCGUAGGCGGCUUGAUAAGGUUGCGGUGAAAGCCCGGGGCUCAACCCCGGGUCGGCCGUGGCAACUGUCGAGCUGGAGCACUGUAGAGGCAGGUGGAAUUCCGGGUGUAGCGGUGAAAUGCGUAGAUAUCUGGAGGAACACCGGUGGCGAAGGCGGCAUCCUGGACCGGCAUUGACGCUGAGGCGCGAAAGCCAGGGGAGCAAGCGGG
rnacentral:rRNA from 1 species